rnacentral:rRNA from 1 species
GAAAGAUGAAAAGAACUUUGAAAAGAGAGUUAAACAGUACGUGAAAUUGUUGAAAGGGAAACGAUUGAAGCCAGUCGUACCUGCGGGUAAUCAGCCUUUUGGGCAUGAUUCUGUGGAGCGUGAGGAGUUAAACGCCUUCAUGCCUGCAUAUUCGUGUACUUUGGGUGUACUUGCCUGUGUGGUUAGUUAACAUCAAUUUUGGUUAUCAUAAAAUGGCUGGAGGAAUGUAGCUUCGAUUUCGAUUGAAGUGUUAUA